CUUAGACUUAGCAAUGGAUGUGUUCUUUUUUGCUCUGGGGCAGGAAGAACGUGGUUUUACCACAACACCAACUACAAUGCAAAUUAAACUAACAGAUAUUUGAUUCUCUUUAUAGAAAUAAGAAAUUUAAGAUAAAACGUCAUUCCAUUGGCUUACCUGUGGAUUGGUUAUGAAGUGGAUGCAUUCAGGUCUGACAACACUGCUGCUUCCAAGUCCAUUUACCUAUACUGGCCGAUGGGAAAUGUUGCCACCUUUCGUUCCAUGGAACAGACCAUUUGGUGGUAUUUCUUUCUACAAAGAUCCAUUCGUGAAGCCAAGAAACACAACAAAAUGGAACUUCCCGUGCGGAUAUUCACUGAGGACAUUGCAGGCUGUGACACUCCUCUGUAUGUAACAGCAACAAACUUUGAUAUGGUGAAUGACAUAAUCAGCAAGUUACUACCAAUGAUAAGAAAGCAUGUAAGUUACUUUCAAUCGAUUUUGAGUUAAAAUUGAAUUUUGCUUUUGAGAUUCACAUAUGUGGAAAUGUGUAAAUACAGAUGAAAUUUGAUCAUGAUACAUUUACAAAUCAUAUUUUACAAAUG
rnacentral:lncRNA from 1 species